rnacentral:rRNA from 1 species
AGAGAAGCGCAAACGGUGGAUGCCUUGGCAGUAAGAGGCGAAGAAGGACGUGGAAUCCUGCGAAAAGCUAUGGGGAGCUGGAAACGAGCGUUGAGCCAUAGAUGUCCGAAUGGGGGAACCCGGCUGCAGCGAUGCGGUCAUUUGCAUUUGAAUACAUAGGAUGCAAAGGCGAACUCGGGGAACUGAAACAUCUAAGUACCCGAAGGAAAAGAAAUCAAGAGAGAUUCUCCAAGUAGCGGCGAGCGAACGGGGAGGAGCCUGGCGUGAUUUAUUAUUGAACUGAGUAGAACAAUUUGGGAAAGUUGGCCGUAGAGGGUGAAAGCCCCGUAUACGAAGGUUUGAUGAGGAACUAGGCACGCGAACAAGUAGGCCGGGACACGUGAAAUCCUGGUUGAAGAUGGGUGGACCAUCAUCCAAGGCUAAAUACUACUUACUGACCGAUAGUGAACCAGUACCGUGAGGGAAAGGUGAAAAGAACCCCGGAGAGGGGAGUGAAAUAGAAUCUGAAACCGUUUGCGUACAAGCAGUGGGAGCAUAGUUUAGGCUGUGUGACUGCGUACCUUUUGUAUAAUGGGUCAGCGAGUUACUUUCAGUGGCGAGGUUAACUGAAUAAGGGAGCCGUAGAGAAAUCGAGUCUGAAUAGGGCGAUAGUCGCUGGGAGUAGACCCGAAACCGGGCGAUCUAGCCAUGUGCAGGAUGAAGGUUGGGUAACACCAACUGGAGGUCCGAACCGGGUAAUGUUGAAAAAUUAUCGGAUGACGUGUGGCUAGGAGUGAAAGGCUAAUCAAGCCCGGAGAUAGCUGGUUCUCCCCGAAAGCUAUUUAGGUAGCGCCUCGUGAAUGAUUACUGGGGGUAGAGCACUGUUUCGGCUAGGGGGCUGUCAUGGCUUACCAAACCGAUGCAAACUCCGAAUACCGGCUAAUUG